UACGGAGGGUGCAAGCGUUAUCCGGAUUCACUGGGUUUCAAGGGUGCGUAGGUGGGCAGGUAAGUCAGUGGUGAAAUCUCCGGGCUUAACUCGGAAACUGCCAUUGAUACUAUCUUUCUUGAAUACCGUGGAGGUCAGCGGAAUAUGUCAUGUAGCGGUGAAAUGCUUAGAUAUGACAUAGAACACCAAUUGCGAAGGCAGCUGGCUACACGAAUAUUGACACUGAUGCACGAAAGCGUGGGGAUCAAACAGG
rnacentral:rRNA from 1 species